rnacentral:rRNA from 1 species
UACAUGGGGUGCAAACGUUGCUCGGAAUUAUUGGGCGUAAAGCGCGCGUAGGCGGUUACUUAAGUCGGAUGUGAAAGCCCUCGGCUUAACUGAGGAAGUGCACCCGAAACUGAGUAGCUAGAGUACGAAAGAGGGUCGCGGAAUUCCCGGUGUAGAGGUGAAAUUCGUAGAUAUCGGGAGGAACACCGGUGGCGAAGGCGGCGACCUGGGUCGAGACUGACGCUGAGGCGCGAAAGCGUGGGAGCAAACGGG